UAUAGGGCGAAUUGGGGCCCUCUAGAUGCAUGCUCGAGCGGCCGCCAGUGUGAUGGAUAUCUGCAGAAUUCGCCCUUAGAGUUUGACCUGGCUCAGAUUGAACGCUGGCGGCAGGCCUAACACAUGCAAGUCGAGCGGAAACGAGUUAUCUGAACCUUCGGGGAUCGAUAACGGCGUCGAGCGGCGGACGGGUGAGUAAUGCCUGGGAAAUUGCCCUGAUGUGGGGGAUAACCAUUGGAAACGAUGGCUAAUACCGCAUAAUAGCUUCGGCUCAAAGAGGGGGACCUUCGGGCCUCUCGCGUCAGGAUAUGCCCAGGUGGGAUUAGCUAGUUGGUGAGGUAAGGGCUCACCAAGGCGACGAUCCCUAGCUGGUCUGAGAGGAUGAUCAGCCACACUGGAACUGAGACACGGUCCAGACUCCUACGGGAGGCAGCAGUGGGGAAUAUUGCACAAUGGGCGCAAGCCUGAUGCAGCCAUGCCGCGUGUGUGAAGAAGGCCUUCGGGUUGUAAAGCACUUUCAGUCGUGAGGAAGGUGGUGUAGUUAAUAGCUGCAUCAUUUGACGUUAGCGACAGAAGAAGCACCGGCUAACUCCGUGCCAGCAGCCGCGGUAAUACGGAGGGUGCGAGCGUUAAUCGGAAUUACUGGGCGUAAAGCGCAUG
rnacentral:rRNA from 1 species